UACGUAGGGACCAAGCGUUGUUCGGAUUUACUGGGCGUAAAGGGCGCGUAGGCGGCGUGACAAGUCACUUGUGAAAUCUCCGGGCUUAACCCGGAACUGCCAAGUGAUACUGUCGUGCUAGAGUGCGGAAGGGGCAAUCGGAAUUCUUGGUGUAGCGGUGAAAUGCGUAGAUAUCAAAGAGGAACACCUGAGGUGAAGACGGGGUUGCUGGGGCCGAUACUGACGCUGAGGAGCGAAAAGCGUGGGGGAGCGAACAGG
rnacentral:rRNA from 1 species